AUCUUAUCAAGAGCGGCGGAGGGACUGGCCCUGAGAAGCCCGACAACCAGCACAUCAGUGUAUGGUGUUAAUUCCAGCAGAUUAAUUUCUGGCAGAUAAGAC
rnacentral:ncRNA from 2 species